GACGAACGCUGGCGGCGUGCUUAACACAUGCAAGUCGAACGGAAAGGCCCUGCUUGCAGGGUGCUCGAGUGGCGAACGGGUGAGUAACACGUGGGUGAUCUGCCCCUUACUUUGGGAUAAGCCUGGGAAACUGGGUCUAAUACUGGAUAGGACCAUGCUGUAGGUGGUGUGGUGGAAAGAUUAGUUUCGGUAAGGGAUGAGCUCGCGGCCUAUCAGCUUGUUGGUGGGGUAAUGGCCUACCAAGGCGUCGACGGGUAGCCGGCCUGAGAGGGUGGACGGCCACAUGGGGACUGAGAUACGGCCCAGACUCCUACGGGGGGCAGGAGUGGGGAAUAUUGCACAAUGGGGGCAAGCCUGAUGCGGGGACGCCGCGGGGGGGAUGACGGCCUUCGGGUUGUAAACUCCUUUCAGCCAUGACGAAGCCCUUGGGGUGACGGUAGUGGUAGAAGAAGCCCCGGCUAACUACGU
rnacentral:rRNA from 1 species